rnacentral:rRNA from 1 species
UAGGGUUUGAUUCUGGCUCAGAACGAACGCUGGCGGCAGGCCUAAUACAUGCAAGUCGAGCGCAUCCUUCGGGAUGAGCGGCGGACGGGUGAGUAACGCGUGGGAAUAUGCCCUUCUCUAAGGAAUAGCCUACUGGAAACGGAGAGUAAUACCUUAUACGCCCUUCGGGGGAAAGAUUUAUCGGAGAAGGAUUAGCCCGCGUUAGAUUAGGUAGUUGGUGGGGUAACGGCCUACCAAGCCUACGAUCUAUAGCUGGUUUGAGAGGAUGAUCAGCCACACUGGGACUGAGACACGGCCCAGACUCCUACGGGAGGCAGCAGUAGGGAAUCUUAGACAAUGGGGGAAACCCUGAUCUAGCCAUGCCGCGUGUGUGAAGAAGGCCCUAGGGUCGUAAAGCACUUUCGCCAGAGAUGAUAAUGACAGUAUCUGGUAAAGAAACCCCGGCUAACUCCGUGCCAGCCGCCGCGGUAAUACA